GCUUGCUGGUGGAUUAGUGGCGAACGGGUGAGUAACACGUGAGUAACCUGCCCUUAACUCUGGGAUAAGCCUGGGAAACUGGGUCUAAUACCGGAUAUGACUCCUCAUCGCAUGGUGGGGGGUGGAAAGCUUUAUUGUGGUUUUGGAUGGACUCGCGGCCUAUCAGCUUGUUGGUGAGGUAAUGGCUCACCAAGGCGACGACGGGUAGCCGGCCUGAGAGGGUGACCGGCCACACUGGGACUGAGACACGGCCCAGACUCCUACGGGAGGCAGCAGUGGGGAAUAUUGCACAAUGGGCGAAAGCCUGAUGCAGCGACGCCGCGUGAGGGAUGACGGCCUUCGGGUUGUAAACCUCUUUCAGUAGGGAAGAAGCGAAAGUGACGGUACCUGCAGAAGAAGCGCCGGCUAACUACGUGCCAGCAGCCGCGGUAAUACGUAGGGCGCAAGCGUUAUCCGGAAUUAUUGGGCGUAAAGAGCUCGUAGGCGGUUUGUCGCGUCUGCCGUGAAAGUCCGGGGCUCAACUCCGGAUCUGCGGUGGGUACGGGCAGACUAGAGUGAUGUAGGGGAGACUGGAAUUCCUGGUGUAGCGGUGAAAUGCGCAGAUAUCAGGAGGAACACCGAUGGCGAAGGCAGGUCUCUGGGCAUUAACUGACGCUGAGGA
rnacentral:rRNA from 1 species